rnacentral:misc_RNA from 1 species
GGUCUCUUCAUCAUGGGUUGCCAUAACACCAUCCGUUUUAUAGCCAAGGAUGCUUCUUGAUGUAGGGUCAUCCCAUAUUAGAAGCAGCACUCUAACACCUUCUUGUGACUUUAACUUUAAAAGAUCCCCGAGAGUGCAACCUUCAGCAGAAGCAUCAUCUCGAACAAGUUUGACUUUGUGCCAUACUGACCAACCUGUAAUGUAGAUCAACCGUCGGGCUUGGCGUAUGGCGUCAAAGAUGUCACGCCAACACUUCCCAUGUACAUAUUGCAUUCCAUAGUCAAGCAUCACAUUUGGAAGGCAUCCAUCAGGCACAUGAGCAUCUUGAUACAGAGUAACUGUUCCACCCAUCCGCAGUGGAAAAUAAGUUCCAGG